rnacentral:rRNA from 1 species
AUUGAACGCUGGCGGAAUGCUUUACACAUGCGAGUCGAGCGGCAGCGCGGGGCAACCUGGCGGUGAGCGGCGAACGGGUGAGUAAUACAUCGGAACGUACCCAGUUGUGGGGGAUAGCCCGGCGAAAGCCGGAUUAAUACCGCAUACGACCUGAGGGUGAAAGUGGGGGAUCGCAAGACCUCACGCAGUUGGAGCGGCCGAUGGCGGAUUAGCUAGUUGGUAGGGUAAAGGCCUACCAAGGCGACGAUCCGUAGCGGGUCUGAGAGGACGACCCGCCACACUGGAACUGAGACACGGUCCAGACUCCUACGGGAGGCAGCAGUGGGGAAUUUUGGACAAUGGGGGCAACCCUGAUCCAGCCAUUCCGCGUGAGUGAAGAAGGCCUUCGGGUUGUAAAGCUCUUUCGGCAGGAACGAAACGGUGGGCUCUAACAUAGCCUGCUAAUGACGGUACCUGAAGAAGAAGCACCGGCUAACUACGUGCCAGCAGCCGCAGUAACAC